rnacentral:rRNA from 1 species
AUGGCGCAGAAGGACGCCGCCAAUGGCAACGGCGCCACCACGCGCCCGCCGCCCACUCCCUCCCCCAUCCGCUUCUCCAAGUUCUUCCAGGCCAACAUGCGGAUCCUGGUGACCGGCGGAGCUGGCUUCAUCGGCUCGCACCUCGUCGACAAGCUCAUGGAGAACGAGAAGAACGAGGUCAUUGUUGCUGACAACUUUUUCACUGGGUCAAAAGACAACCUGAAGAAGUGGAUCGGACACCCAAGAUUUGAACUCAUCCGUCACGAUGUCACCGAACCACUGCUCGUGGAGGUUGACCAAAUCUACCACCUUGCUUGCCCUGCCUCACCAAUCUUCUACAAGCACAACCCUGUCAAGACCAUCAAGACGAAUGUCAUUGGAACCUUGAACAUGCUUGGACUUGCAAAGAGAGUUGGAGCUAGAAUAUUGUUGACUUCGACCUCUGAAGUUUAUGGUGAUCCCCUUGAGCAUCCUCAGACGGAGGCGUACUGGGGCAAUGUUAACCCAAUUGGAGUCAGGAGCUGCUACGAUGAGGGUAAGCGUGUAGCUGAGACACUGAUGUUCGACUACCACAGGCAGCACGGCAUUGAGAUCCGUAUUGCCAGGAUUUUCAACACCUAUGGACCUAGGAUGAACAUUGAUGAUGGCCGUGUUGUUAGUAACUUCAUUGCUCAGGCCAUUCGUGGUGAAGCACUGACUGUCCAGAAGCCUGGAACACAGACUAGGAGCUUCUGCUACGUCGCUGAUAUGGUCAAUGGUCUUAUGAAGCUGAUGAAUGGAGACAACACCGGACCCAUUAACAUUGGGAACCCAGGUGAAUUCACCAUGCUGGAACUUGCCGAGAAUGUAAAGGAGUUGAUCAACCCAGAAGUGACAGUGACGAUGACUGAGAACACUCCUGAUGACCCUCGCCAGAGGAAGCCUGACAUCACCAAGGCCAAGGAGGUUCUCGACUGGGAGCCCAAGGUCGUCCUGCGCGACGGCUUGGUGCUCAUGGAGGACGAUUUCAGGGAGCGCUUGGCAGUGCCCAAGAAGACCAAGGCCUAA